GGGACUGUACGACUCGGGGGUAAGAGCGGCCGGACGUAAUCCGGUGGAUGCGGGUUCAAGUCCCGCCAGGACCCACAA
rnacentral:tRNA from 1 species